GAUGAGCGCUGGCGGCGUGCCUAAUACAUGCAAGUCGAGCGAACGGACGAGAAGCUUGCUUCUCUGAUGUUAGCGGCGGACGGGUGAGUAACACGUGGAUAACCUACCUAUAAGACUGGGAUAACUUCGGGAAACCGGAGCUAAUACCGGAUAAUAUUUUGAACCGCAUGGUUCAAAAGUGAAAGACGGUCUUGCUGUCACUUAUAGAUGGAUCCGCGCUGCAUUAGCUAGUUGGUAAGGUAACGGCUUACCAAGGCAACGAUGCAUAGCCGACCUGGGAGGGUGAUCGGCCACACUGGAACUGAGACACGGUCCAGACUCCUACGGGAGGCAGCAGUAGGGAAUCUUCCGCAAUGGGCGAAAGCCUGACGGAGCAACGCCGCGUGAGUGAUGAAGGUCUUCGGAUCGUAAAACUCUGUUAUUAGGGAAGAACAUAUGUGUAAGUAACUGUGCACAUCUUGACGGUACCUAAUCAGAAAGCCACGGCUAACUACGUG
rnacentral:rRNA from 1 species